GAGAGUUAAGUUUUAUUUGGGACAAAAUGAAGACUUAAGCCUGGAAGGCAGCACCACAAGAAACCACUUCUAGGAGGGGAGGGUGUUAGCUAAGAUAUACAGGAGUUUUGUAACAGAGGGCAGGUAGUCAGAACAAAAGAGUACUGUUAGUCAAAGAAAACUAGAUAUCUCAAGUUCAAAAAUGUAGUGCUUUUCUGUGUAUGGGAGUAUUGCAAGGGGCUGGGCUCACUGAAAUCCUUCCUUUGAGAAGCAUCUCAGCUCUCUGGAGCAAGUACCGUGUGCUUUUCACAUCCUGAGGGCUCACCAUCACGAAUGACUGCAGUCCGAUGGCUGCGAGAUGGCAGGUAUUCUUUGUUCCUUCCUGAGUUCCCUCAGGGCUCACCAGCUCAGAGGUGGCUGCAAUUGCUGAAGACUGUGACAUCUUUAUUUACUGCUAUAGGAGGCAAUAUUGUAUUUCUCACCAGCAAUUUGUGUUGUCAGGAGUUUUUGUUUUAGCAACUCUUAUCAGUGUGCAGUGAUUUAAUUGUUUUUCAAAUUAACAGAAUUUUAAAUGUAUAUUAUAUAAUGAGUGUAAUUAAAACAAAAUACCAGUGCAUAAAAGGAAAAUAUGUAAAAAUAUGCAAGCAAUUGAAGAAGCUAUAAAAAGAACACCAAAAUUAACUUUUUUUAAUUUAGAAAGCAGAGACAAAAUGAGAAUAGUUUGCAACAGCCCCAGAUUCCUCCCUGAAGGGAACAGCAAGCAGGGUAGUGUAAGGGGAAAUCAUAUACAAAUUUAAAUAACAGCUUUACACUGGGAACUAUGUCGGGUCACUUAUGAUGAAUUAUGAUAAUGUGAGAAAAAAGAAUCUAUGCAUGUAUGUGUAACUGGGUCACCAUGCCGUACAGUAGAAAAUUGACAGAACACUGUAAACAAGCUAUAAUGGAAAAAAAAUUAAAAUGACUAUAUAUAUAAAAAAUAAUAAAAUAACAGCUUUAAUUCUCCCUGUUGAAAACAAGGGAAGAGACUUAGCCUCCCCUUCCUUUUCUUAGAGCAUUUUCUUUAGGAAAGUUGCAAAUUUUUUUUUCUCUCUCUCUUUAAAAUGAAUGUAAAUCUUUUUAAACUUUAAAUGGACCCCUUGAAUACUGUAAACCAGCUAUAAUGGAAAAAAAGUAAAAAUCAUUAAAAUAAAUAAAUAAGUAAAUAAAUGGACCUCCUGACAGAUUUACGACCCAGGAAUGUCUUUCUUAAGGACCUGGGAGCCAUCCCAUUGAAAUGCAAUCAUCAAGGAAGAUGGUGCCCUAACACCCCCUUUUUGUGGGAAGGUAGAAGCCUUCAGCAGAUUCCUUGGGCUCCUCACUCCAAACUGCAAAAUACCUUCAGCCACAAAGAUAUGAGAAUUUUGUUUUUCCUUUGGAUGAAGCAAAUUAGCAAACACAGAUGGCCACUCUAAUUAUCAGGUGAAUCUAGGAUAAAUUAUGCAUGGCAAAUGGUGCUUUCAGCUCCUCUAACUUCAGGGCUAGUUACUAUUUAUCUUGAGAACAUGUAUAUAGUGGGUUAUAUCUGCUUGGCUGCAUAAAUACCUAAGAUUCCUGUCUUUGCAGUCUCUUAGCAGAUUGCCACAUGCUUCACAUUUUGUUUUAAUGCUUACUCAGUGACAAAUUGUUUUCUUUCUCUUCUACCUUUGUGGAAAGUCUUCUGGGAUGAGAGGAGGUUUUGUUUUUAAUUAUAUAUCCCCCAACAAAAGCAAAUGCCAUGGACUGUGCACGCAGGUCAGAAAGAAGAAUUUUCCAGAUUCAGAGCAAGAUGAAGAAAAGACAAGUUUAUGGAGGCAAGGAACACUGUUAACACAGUGGGCUGACUUCCUGAUAAUGAAAGAGAGCCAAUCCUGGAGAUAAAGAAUAGUUUAAGAUGAGAGAUGUGGGAGUUUUCAUUGUGCUUAGCAGGUUAUGAAAGCAACUAGUAUCUAUGAGGAUGUGGAUUCAAUCCCUGGCCUCACUCAGUGGGUUAAGGAUCUGGCAUUGUCGUGAGCUGUGGUGUAGGUCACAGAUCAACACUGGAUCCUUAACCCACUGUUUUUUAUUACAGGGGGUCUCAGCCAAAAACUGAAAAGGGUAGAGGGAAAAUCCUUUUUCAACCCCAUAGAAUAAUCACAGAUGAGUUAAGUGUGACCCAGACACAAAGCAAGUUCUGAGGCCAGGGACCAAACCCAGGCCACAACAGUGACAAUGAUAGAUCCUUAAGUGCUAGGUCACCAGGGAGCGCCUAUGAUCAUUUUUAACGACCACAUAAUGUUCCAUUAUAUUCUUUAGUCUAUUGCAACCAUGUUUGACCAUCCAUUAAGUUGCUUUUGGUUUUCUGCUAUUGCAAACAAUGUUGAGACAAACCUCUCUGUAUAUUUGUUUAAUUAUUUCCAUCAGACAAAAGUCCAAAGAACAGGGUUUCUGAGUCAAAUGGCAGACAUUUAAGACUUCUGAUGCCAAACUACUCUCCAAAAGCAAAAUUCCCAACAAUGGUUCAACAACAUUAAUGCACACUAGCUUCCCCACACCCUCACCAACACUGGUUGGAAGGAAUGGUUUCAAAGAUGGGUGCUGUGUACUGGUGCUCUUUGCCUCUUUCUCCACUGACAGCCUAGAACACAGGUGCUUGAUAAAUCAAUCCAGGCUACAGUCUAGUAGACGCUCUGAUCCAAUAUGACUGUUCUGGGUGUCAAAGAACUCUCCUUCUGGUUCACUGCCCUGGAUGCUGGCAUCGUGUAGACCCUAUAAAGGCAGUAGCUCCAAGCACAUUACACAGAAGGCCCUCACUCUAUCAAACCACCUUCUGCUCCCAGGCCAUCCGUUCAGCCAGGAAGCUCCUGCUCCUGGUCUGUAUAGCCCUCGGAUUCCUGGUGACCCCAGGUAAACUGGAUGAGGGAGAAGACAGAUGGGACUGGGGGCCAGGAACACUAAAUCUUUGCUUGGCUGACAGACAAGCCAGGUUGAAAGCAGGCAGGGCUCAUCUCAAUGGGUUCCAACCUAAAGUUGGAAUCUCCCAACAUCCACCACUGGCCUCAAUACCCCAUACCCAGCCACCACCUUCUACCACCCUGUACAAAAACACAGUUCCUGGAGUUCCUGUUGUUGCUGUUGUAGCUCAGCAGGUUAAGAACCCGACUAGUAUCCCUGAGAUGUGGGUUCGAACCCUGGCCUCGCUCAGCGGGUUAAGGAUCUGUCACUGCUGUGAGCUGCAGCAUAGGUCACAGAUGGGGCUCAGAUUUGGCAUUGCUGUGGCUGUGGCAGAGGAUGGCAGCUGCAGCUCCAAUUCAACCCCUAGCCCGGGAACUUCCACAUGCUGUGGGUACACCCUAAAAAGACCAAAAAAAAAAAAAAAAAAAAAAAAAAAAAA
rnacentral:lncRNA from 1 species